rnacentral:rRNA from 1 species
GACGAACGCUGGCGGCGUGCCUAAUACAUGCAAGUCGAGCGCAGGAAACUGACGGAACUCUUCGGAGGGAAGGCAGUGGAAUGAGCGGCGGACGGGUGAGUAACACGUAAGGAACCUGCCUCAAGGAUUGGGAUAACUCCGAGAAAUCGGAGCUAAUACCGGAUAGUUCAACGGACCGCAUGGUCCGCUGAUGAAAGGCGCUCCGGCGUCCCCUUGAGAUGGCCUUGCGGUGCAUUAGCUAGUUGGGGGGGUAACGGCCCACCAAGGCGACGAUGCAUGGCCGACCUGAGAGGGUGAUCGGCCAAACGGGGACGGGGACACGGCCCAGACUCCUACGGGAGGCAGCAGUAGGGAAUCUUCCACAAUGGACGAAAGUCUGAUGGAGCAACGCCGCGUGAGUGAUGAAGGUUUUCGGAUCGUAAAACUCUGUUGUAAGGGAAGAACACGUACGAGAGGGAAUGCUCGUACCUUGACGGUACCUUACGAGAAAGCCACGGCUAACUACGUGCCAGCCGCCGCCGUAAUAC